rnacentral:rRNA from 1 species
AAUCAACGCUGGCGGCGUGCCUCAGACAUGCAAGUCGAACGCUGCUGUUCGCCUUCGGGUGGACAGCGGAGUGGCGCACGGGUGAGUAACACGUAGGUAAUCUACCUUUGGGUGGGGAUAACAGCCGGAAACGGCUGCUAAUACCGCAUAAUGCAGCGGCAUCACAUGAUGACAGUUGUUAAAGCGGGGGAGUCGUAAGACCUCGCGCCUGAAGAGGAGCCUGCGGCAGAUUAGGUAGUUGGUGAGGUAAUGGCUCACCAAGCCUGCGAUCUGUAACCGGCCUGAGAGGGCGGUCGGGUCACACUGACACUGACAUACGGUCAGACUCCUACGGGAGGCAGCAGUCGGGUAAG